rnacentral:rRNA from 1 species
AAUUGGAGGGCAAGUCUGGUGCCAGCAGCCGCGGUAAUUCCAGCUCCAAUAGCGUAUAUUAAAGUUGUUGCAGUUAAAAAGCUCGUAGUUGAAUUUCGAGAUUGACGUGAUGGUCGUGCCUUAAGGGGUAUGAACUGUCGCAGUUGAUUUCUCACCUUCUGGAGAAGCAUGAUGUCCUUAAUUGGGUGUCAUGUGGAACCAGGACCUUUACCUUGAAAAAAUUAGAGUGUUUAAAGCAGGCAUUUUGCUCGAAUACAUUAGCAUGGAAUAAUAGAAUAGGACGGCAUGGUUCUAUUUUGUUGGUUUCUAGGAUCACCGUAAUGAUUAAUAGGGAUAGUUGGGGGCAUUAGUAUUCAAUUGUCAGAGGUGAAAUUCUUGGAUUUAUUGAAGACUAACUACUGCGAAAGCAUUUGCCAAGGAUGUUUUCAUUAAUCAAGAACGAAAGUUAGGGGAUCGAAGACGAUCAGAUACCGUCGUAGUCUUAACCAUAAACUAUGCCGACUAGGAAUCAGACGAUGUUAAUUUUUUAAUGACUCGUUUGGCACCUUACGGGAAACCAAAGUGU